rnacentral:rRNA from 1 species
AUUGAACGCUGGCGGCACGCCUAACACAUGCAAGUCGAGCGGUAACAUGAUUUGUAGCAAUACAAAUUGAUGACGAGCGGCGGACGGGUGAGGAACACGUAGGAAUCUGCCCAGAAGCGGGGGACAACCAAGGGAAACUUUGGCUAAUACCGCGUAAUCUCGAGAGAGUAAAGCUGCCCGCAAGGGUGGCGCUUCUGGAGGAGCCUGCGUCCGAUUAGCUAGUUGGUGGGGUAACGGCUCACCAAGGCGACGAUCGGUAGGGGGUGUGAGAGCAUGACCCCCCACACGGGUACUGAGACACGGACCCGACUCCUACGGGAGGCAGCAGUAAGGAAUAUUGGACAAUGGAGGGAACUCUGAUCCAGCCAUGCCGCGUGAAGGAUGAAGGCGCUCAGCGUUGUAAACUUCUUUUGGAUGGGAACAAUAACUUCUACGUGUAGGAGCUUGAGGGUACCAUCAGAAUAAGCACCGGCUAACUCCGUGCCAGCAGCCG